GCCGUCGCUAAUGGAGAAUGGUUCAGUUGAAGUUUUUCGGAACAGCUCCACUUUUUAGAUCAUCAGAAAGCUUAAUUGUUUCCUCCUGGAUGAACAGGGGUCUGUUUUACAGUAUCAAGCAUUUAUUGGCGGUCCAGGUGCACACCCCACACAUGAGUUCAGUCUGAAAGUUCUACUAGACUUAUCACAGAAAUUUAAGUUGAAACUGGCAAGUGGUUUGGUUACACACUGAACCAGUAGUUGACAGGAUGGAAUUGAGAAAGGAGUCUGUAAACCUUACACGCAAGAGCUUGCUUUGCUCAGCAAUGUUUCCCUUAGAUACUCCCCCUUCCCCCAUAGCAAGAUUUAACAGAGGAACCAGUGUUACUAUUCUGCAAAGCCUUCCUAGCUUCAGCUAUAGAGACUAUACACCAGGCAGCUUCUGAAGAUGGAAACAGCUCAAAGAAAUGUUCCCACUUACCUUGCCCUGUCUAUCUUUAACUUGUUGUGCUGCUGCCUCCCACUUGGAAUAGCUGCUCUCGUCUAUUCUCUCAGGGCCGAGAAUGCCUCUGGGACUGGCGACAUGGACAGAGCGUCUCAAGCGUCCCGCACGGCCCGCACGCUGAACAUCAUCGGGAUCGUCGUAGGAAUCAUUUUCAUCAUCAUUAUCAUUGUCGUCGUAGUCGUGGGGCAUAAAAUCAAGUAAUAGAUGCCAGCGUCACCUUCCGCAACCUCACCGGUGCUGGGCAAUCGCCGUGUAUCCAGGGCAAGACCUCCUUCCCACUCAAAGAGCCAGCCAGGCGCCAAAAAGCCAAAGAUGGGAGUCCACAGCACCACUGAGACAACCCCCCCGAAGCUGCGUCAUGCACAAGUCUGUCCUUUUAGAGGCGUUUCUCCCCAAUUAACUGCUUUACGCUUUUGUAUUCAGAUUAACACAACGUUUUCUCUGUCGGUACGCAAAUAUAUUGUAACAACAACAGACAAUUAAAAGGGUUUGUACACAA